GUUUGAUUUUUGUAGUUCGUGUCUAUUAGUUAUGGACUUGGACUUAUCUUUAACUGAAUACCAAAUGCACGUUGAUCUUUCUAAAGUUUUCUCUACAGACAACUUGCUUAACUAUGAUCCAUGCACUCAACUUGAAUCUUUCUCUUCUGACGGGGAAGUCACAGUUUCAAAACAAUUACGAGCAGAGGAAAAAUUUAAAACUUUAUUAGAAAACGUGGAACGACUUAUACAAGUAAAGGUUAAAAUACUUCCUCUUUUUAACGAUAAAAUUAAAGCUUUAGAAAGAGAAAGGAAUUUAUGUGAAAUUUUACUAGAGUGAUAUA